GACGAACGCUGGCGGCGUGCCUAAUACAUGCAAGUUGAACGAUGAUCUUCUCUGCUUGCCUACAAUUGGAUAUUACCGGAAUGAUGAGCAACACGUGGAGAACCUGCCCAUGAAGGGGGCAUUAUCCUUCGGAAUCGGAUGCUAAUACCGCAUAUUUGCUUUGGACCGCCUGCCCACAACACCAGAUAAUGAUUUUGCUGUCUCUCCUGGAUGGCCCCGCCCCGCAUUAGAUAAUUGGUGAGGUAAUGGCUCACCCCAGCUGUGAUACGAUCCCUACCUGACAUGGUGAUCUGACCCGCUGAGACUGAAAUGAGACCCAGACUCCUAUCGUACGGAACGCUACGGAAUCUUCUCUUGUGGGCUAAAGCCUGAUGUAACGCUGCCACGUGAAUGAAGAAAGUCUUCUGAUCGAAUCGUUCUGUUCUUACAUAAGAACAAGAUCAUGGAGUAACUGUCUUGACUUUGACCGUACCUAUCCAUAAAGUCACGGCUAACUACUUGCCAGCGGCCGAGCGUAAUACGUAGGUGACUGGCGUUGUCCGGAAUUAUUGGGCGUGAAGGGAGCGCAUGCGGUUGGAAUAGUCUGAUGUGAAAGGCCACGGCUUAACCUUGGAAUUGCUUUGAAAACUGUCAAACUUGAAUGCAGAAAAGGCAAGCGGAAUUCCAUGUGUAGCGGUGAAAUGCGUAGAUAUAAGGAGGAACACCAGUGGCGAAGGCGGCUUGCUGGUCUUCGAUUGACGCUGAGGCUCGAAAGCGUGGGGAGCGAACAGGAUUAGAUACCCUGGUAGUCCACGCCGUAAACGAUGAGUGCUAAGUGUCGGGGGGUCUCCGCCCCUCGCUGCCGGAGUCAAAGUAUUCAGCACUCCGCGUGGGGAGUACGGCCGCCAGGUUGUCACUCAGAGGAAUCGACGGGGACCCCCACCAGCGGUGCAGCAUGUGGUUUAAUUAGCAGCUACGAGAACAUCCUCACCACCUCUAGACAUAGUGUGUCCACUAGAGAGAUAGAGCUUCCCUUUGGGGCGCUGAAUCACAGGUGGCGCAGGGUUGUUCUCAGCUCGUGUCGUGAGAUGUGGGGAUAAGUCCCAUAGCGAGCGCACCCCUUAUUGUUAGUCCCCCGCAUUCAGGUGGGCACUCUAGCGAGACUGCCGGUGAUAAACCGGAGGAAGGUGGGGAUGACGUCAAAUCAUCAUGCCCCUUAUGUGCUGGGCUACACACGUGCUACAAUGGUCGGUACAGCGGGCAGCGACACCGCAAGGUCCAGCGAAUCUCACAAAGCCGAUCUCAGUUCGGAUUGCUGUCUGCAACUCGCGAGCAUGAAGCCGGAAUCGCUAGUAAUCGCGGAUCAGAAUGCCGCGGUGAAUACGUUCCCGGGUCU
rnacentral:rRNA from 1 species